rnacentral:rRNA from 1 species
AUUGAACGCUGGCGGCAUGCCUUACACAUGCAAGUCGAACGGCAGCGGGGGAGAAGCUUGCUUUUCCUGCCGGCGAGUGGCGAACGGGUGAGUAAUACAUCGGAACGUGCCCUGUAGUGGGGGAUAACUAGUCGAAAGAUUAGCUAAUACCGCAUACGACCUGAGGGUGAAAGUGGGGGACCGCAAGGCCUCAUGCUAUAGGAGCGGCCGAUGUCUGAUUAGCUAGUUGGUGGGGUAAAGGCCUACCAAGGCGACGAUCAGUAGCUGGUCUGAGAGGACGAUCAGCCACACAGGGACUGAGACACGGCCCAGACUCCUACGGGAGGCAGCAGUGGGGAAUUUUGGAAAAUGGGCGAAAGCCUGAUCCAGCAAUGCCGCGUGUGUGAAGAAGGCCUUCGGGUUGUAAAGCACUUUUGUCCGGAAAGAAAUGGCUCUGGUUAAUACCUGGGGUCGAUGACGGUACCGGAAGAAUAAGGACCGGCUAACUACGUGCCAGCCGCCGCCGUAA